GCCUUUGGGAACGGUAGGAUGGCUGCAAGGAGAAGUUUGAGAUACUCGGGGAACCCGGGUGCAAAACAUUCAAAGAACACUUUGAGAAGCACAUAUUCCAGGAAACAGGAAGGAGUCUUCACCCCGGUGUGCAUUCAAAACUGCGUAUGAGCUUUGGGGCACAUGUCCUUUUUCUGGGGAGGCGAUCAUAGCUUCCUCUAUAUCGAGGAUUUAGAAAGCUGGUCCAAAGCCCCGGCCCAAGGAUGUGUUUGACUUUUCUAAUAAUUCUGAUGCCUCAAGCAUACCGGGAGCACUCGAGGAAGAAGAGGAGACUUACGAAACCUUCGACCCCCCUCUGCACAGUACGGCUAUCUACGCAGAAGACGAGCUGUCCAAACACUGUGUGUCCUCCAGUUCCCUGGCCACCCACAGAGGGAAGGCGAGCAGAAACUUGGACCCUUCUGAAGAUGAAGCAAGUGGAAAUGAGUCUAUCAAGGUCAGCACAAAAAAGCCAAGGAGAAAGCUGGAGCCCAUCAGCGGCGAGUCGGACAGCUCUGCAGAUGAUGUAAGGAGGAGGGUGGCAUCUGCAGAAGGACCAAGGUCACAGCAACGCCAGGCUGCUCCUGCAGCACCGUCACCCCCUGAGAGGCCAGCCGAGCCGGUCACUCCCAGGAGGACAAGACUCCACAGCGCUCAGCUCUCUCCUGUAGACGAGACACCAGCAACCCAAAGUCAGCUGAAAACUCAGAAGAAAGUGCGGCCGUCUCCUGGCAGGAGGAAGAGACCAAGGCGCGGACACACAGACACAGAUGGUUCUGAAAGUAUGCAUAUCUGGUGUCUGGAAGGAAAGAGACAGAGUGACAUAACGGAGUUGGAUGUUAUUCUGUCUGUAUUUGAGAAAACCUUCCUGGAGUAUAAGCAAAGAGUAGAAUCUGAAAGUUGUAAUCAAGCCAUCAACAAGUUUUAUUUUAAAAUGAAAGGAGAACUCAUCAGAAUGCUUAAAGAAGCCCAGAUGUUAAAAGCCCUGAAAAUGAAGAACACCAAGAUAAUUGCCAACAUGGAAAAGAAAAGGCAGCGUUUAAUUGAAGUCCAGGAUGAACUGAUUCGAUUAGAACCACAACUGAAACAACUACAAACAAAAUAUGAUGACCUUAAGGAGAGAAAGUCAUCACUUAAGAAGUCCAAGCAUUUCUUAUCUAAUUUAAAACAGCUGUGUCAAGAUUAUUCAAACGUUCAAGAGAAAGGACCAAAGGGAACGGGAAAGUAUGAUUCAUCUAGCCUUCCAGCUCUGUUAUUUAAAGCAAGAAGCAUUCUGGGCGCCGAAAACCACCUGAGAACCAUCAACUAUCAGCUGGGGAAGCUUCUCGAGCUGGACUGAGAACUGAGCCUCCUGCUGCCUUUUCUGCUCCUGAAGCCAUGCUCCUGACAGCAGCGGCCUGUGGUGACAGUAGUGAGACCUGCUUAUCAGGGUGUACUACCGUUUUGUCAUUCAAACUAAAUUACACCAAUUCAGUUGUCUAAUAACUCAGAAGGCAUAGCCAUAUUUUUGAGUAUUGUGUUAAUAAAUUUCAGUCUCUUGACAGGUUAGUCAUCACCAGGCAUAAGCUUUUUAACUACAAUAAACUUUAAUGAUGUCAGUGCAAAUGCAAGCAUAGAAUGAUCCUGGUUAAUUAGGAGCGUCUGCUGAAAUAUGUCAAAGGUAGUCUUCAAUAAAUCUGGCUUAGGUAAACCAAGUGAUAGAACGGUUGCUAUAAACAGGUUUUACAAUAAGUUAAUAAGUUGAUCUUUUGUAUGAUGUUAAAUGCAGGGCCUUGCACAUCUUAGGUAAGUAUUCUAAUGUUGGGCUACAGUCCCGGCACUAAUUUAACAUUUAUGUUAUCAAAUCUCAGGCUUCAGGCAAAUUGUAGCCUGGUUAUGUAUGUUCUGUCCACAGUCAGCUAUUCUGUAAAGCUUCUAUAAUUAGUUCAUCAGGAAUAUCAUCCAUUGAACCAAGGCUCUUAUCUGCAGCGUCAGCAAAUUCAGCAUCUUCUGUCGCUUCUAAGAAAAGGGCGUCAUCUUCGUCAUCCCAGGCAGCGGCAGAAAGCCCGCCGGCUGACAAGUUGCAGGAUGGCGGGGUUUGAGAAUCCUUGGUCAGUGAGGUGCUGGUGUCAUCUGUUUCUCCAGAAGUGAAGUCUUCCUUUAUUUUGGAGGGAAGAGGAAUAAAGAUUAGUCAGAAUAUGUGACUUCAAAUACGUUGAGUUAAGGUAUGAAAUAAUAACCAGGUUUUCAGCAGUCAGUGACCAUGCUGGCUGCCUGCUGUCAGGAACAGUCAGCAUGGGGAAGGCUAAGUUAGCUCAGAAGUGCUUUUGUAGCGCAGACAUGCUUCUCUGAGGCUGAAACUGACUGUAGCUCAUGGCAGAUACAUUUCAACUCCUCAGAAGGGGUACAGCAAAGGGAAGUUUCUAGAUUAACAAAAAAUCAAUGCCUAGAAUCUAUGUUAAAAAGCCAGCAUGCAAUCCCAGUGCUAGGGAGGUGGAGACAUGGCUCCCUGGAGCUUGGUAGCCAUCCAGCCAAGCCUCCCAACUGAACACCAGCCCAGUGAGAGGCUGCAUCUCAAAAAAGAAAAAAAAAAUGUCCUGAGGAAUGACACCCAAAGUUGUCCCUCUGGCCUGUGUGCGUGUGUACAUGAGCACACAUGUGAGCAUGGACACACAAAUGUAUAAAUAAAAGGAAGAUGAAGGAGAAAUGGCAGUGUUAACAGUUCACUUGGAAGGUACUAUUUCUAUACUCGUGUUUCUAGAAGAAAAACAUGUUCAGAUAAUAGUAAUAUUGUAUAUCAAGAAUACUUUCACUUGGCAUUUUUGAGGUAUUAUUAGAAAAGAAAAAAUUUCUACCAAAGAUGUCGCCACAGUAAAUUAAUGGCUGGGAAUGUAGCUCAAGAGAGAGCCCUUGCUUCCCAUGUAUGUGGCUGAUAAGUUCAAUUCUAUCCAAAACCAAACACUGCUCUUAUAAGAGAUAAUUAAACAUUUUUAAUCUGUUCCUAGAUACUAUUUUAAAUGUAGUAGUAUGUCAGAGUCUGCUUAUCAGUUGUUAUGUCCCGCUCUAACAUACCAAGCAUGGGAUUUUAACUUUAAGCUUGGAUGUUGGGUCUGGAGAGAUGGCUAAGAGCAUUGCUGCUCUUCCAGAGGACCCCUCCAGGGCUGCAGUUCCCAGGACCACAUGGUGGCUCACAACCACCACCAACUACAGUUCCAGGGAACUUCUGCUUCCUUGGGUACCAAACAUACAUGUGGUAUGCACAGAUGUACAUGCAAUCAAAUCACUCAUACAUAUAUAAAAUUAAAAAACCAACUUGAAUAUGAUGUUUUCAGAAGAGAUUUUUAAGUACAGAUCUCAAAGGAUGCCAGGCGGUUUCUAGACUGUAGUGGAAGGAGCACUUGUUCGGCCUGUAACAGGUCAGGUACCCCAUCAUGGCAGUUUGAAAGACUGUGCUGAUGGUUUUACAGUGAAAAUGAAAAUAAAAAAUUAACUCUAAAUAACACAUGACAAAAAGUAUUAAAAAUUAUCAGAAAAAUUGAUCCAGAAAUUCAUAAAAUAAC